rnacentral:pre_miRNA from 1 species
AUACCGUGGUUCCUGGGAGGUGUGAUACCGUGGUUCCUGGGAGGUGUGAUAUCGUCGUUCCU